GACAGAGGGUGCAAACGUUGUUCGGAAUUACUGGGCGUAAAGCGUGCGCAGGCGGUUUUGUAAGCCAGAUGUGAAAUCCCCGGGCUUAACCUGGGAAUGGCAUUUGGGACUGCAAGGCUCGAGUGCGGCAGAGGAGACUGGAAUUCCUGGUGUAGCAGUGAAAUGCGUAGAUAUCAGGAGGAACACCGAUGGCGAAGGCAGGUCUCUGGGCUGACACUGACGCUCAUGCACGAAAGCGUGGGGAGCAAACAGG
rnacentral:rRNA from 1 species